UUAAGUUCAGCGGGUAUCCCUACCUGAUCCGAGGUCAACCUGAAAAAAAUUGGGGGUUGCUGGCAAGCACACGCCCGGCCUCCAAAGCGAGAAGAAUUACUACGCUCGGAACCAGACGGCACCGCCACUGAUUUUAGGGCUCGCCGGGUCGGCGGGGCCCAAUACCAAGCAGAGCUUGAGGGUUGUAAUGACGCUCGAAC
rnacentral:misc_RNA from 1 species